UGGGGAAUCUUGCACAAUGGGCGGAAGCCUGAUGCAGCGACGCCGCGUGGGGGAUGACGGCCUUCGGGUUGUAAACUCCUUUCGCCAGGGACGAAGCCGUGAGGUUACGGUACCUGGAUAAGAAGCACCGGCCAACUACGUGCCAGCAGCCGCGGUAAUACGUAGGGUGCGAGCGUUGUCCGGAAUUACUGGGCGUAAAGAGCUCGUAGGUGGUUUGUCGCGUCGUCUGUGAAAUUCCGGGGCUUAACUCCGGGCGUGCAGGCGAUACGGGCAUAACUUGAGUGCUGUAGGGGAGACUGGAAUUCCUGGUGUAGCGGUGAAAUGCGCAGAUAUCAGGAGGAACACCGAUGGCGAAGGCAGGUCUCUGGGCAGUAACUGACGCUGAGGAGCGAAAGCAUGGGUAGCGAACAGG
rnacentral:rRNA from 1 species